rnacentral:rRNA from 1 species
ACGGGGGCCGCACAAGCGGUGGAGCAUGUGGUCUAAUUUCGAAGCAACGCGAAGAACCUUUACCAGGUCUUGACAUCCUCUGACAACUCUAGAGAUAGAGCGUUCCCCUUCGGGGGACAGAGUGACAGGUGGUGCAUGGUUGUCGUCAGCUCGUGUCGUGAGAUGUUGGGUUAAGUCCCGCAACGAGCGCAACCCUUGAUCUUAGUUGCCAGCAUUCAGUUGGGCACUCUAAGGUGACUGCCGGUGACAAACCGGAGGAAGGUGGGGAUGACGUCAAAUCAUCAUGCCCCUUAUGACCUGGGCUACACACGUGCUACAAUGGACGGUACAAAGAGUCGCGAGACCGCGAGGUGGAGCUAAUCUCAUAAAACCGUUCUCAGUUCGGAUUGUAGGCUGCAACUCGCCUACAUGAAGCCGGAAUCGCUAGUAAUCGCGGAUCAGCAUGCCGCGGUGAAUACGUUCCCGGGCCUUGUACACACCGCCCGUCACACCACGAGAGUUUGCAACACCCGAAGUCGGUGAGGUAACCGUAAGGAGCCAGCCGCCUAAGGUGGGGUAGAUGAUUGGGGUGAAGUCGUAACAAGGUAGCC